rnacentral:rRNA from 1 species
UACGGGGGGGGCAAGCGUUGUUCGGAAUUACUGGGCGUAAAGGGCUCGUAGGCGGCUAACUAAGUCGGAUGUGAAAUCCCCAGGCUCAACUUGGGAACUGCAUCCGAUACUGGAUGGCUUGAAUCCGGGAGAGGGAUGCAGAAUUCCAGGUGUAGCGGUGAAAUGCGUAGAUAUCUGGAGGAAUACCGGUGGCGAAGGCGGCAUCCUGGACCGGCAUUGACGCUGAUGAGCGAAAGCUAGGGGAGCAAACGGG